CAAAAAGAAUGUGCGAGAAAAAGAUACGUGAACACACUCGCUGCUGAUCGACCCGUAUGAGAGGGAGAAUGAAGAUAUGUGAGACGACGUGGACAACUUGCCUCAGAUCUACGACAUAGUUUCCUCCCUCGUGAACACCGUGGAGGAGCUUCACGGCCUGAAAUCCACGGACGGAUACAGUCAGUGUGUCAGCGGCUUUGUAAAAGACGAACGAUCCCGUCAGGUGAAUAGAAAUGUUCUGGUGACUUUUUGAACCCAACAAGGGCUGCAACACAAAAUCCCGAGUCGUUGGUCGUCCUGAUGCUGUAGAUUAAGAGCUACGAUGUUCAAAAGCAAGGCUUAGCUGCAGACCACUGAGGAGGAUCAGCUCAUUUCCUUUAGCGCACGCCGUGGAGGUUGGUGGGCUGGUGACUGGAGAGGACCGAGGACCACCUGACGGCCCGCUGGUGCUUGGGAACGCGCACACAAACUGCUGAUUGUGUCUUUAUCUGUCCUCUGACAGCAGGUAUCACAACGAGAUCAGAGGCCUCCGAGAGAAAACUCCAACCCUGACGAGGAAACUUUAGGUUCAGAUUAGAGUUUUCUGAAUGCAGGGAUGUAUUACUGAGGCCAGGGCCUCAGGAUUGUUAUGCAAAGCUGGCCAAGCAGAGAGUGUGGGAGGGCUGUCAAGCACACAUGUGUCCGGAUCAUAUUUGUACGAUCUCCCGUCAUGGUGAGAGACACGGGUUCAGACUGUGAGCUCUUAUCUGCUCUGUGACGGGUGGAAAGGCUGGAGCCCGUCCUGGAAAAGGAUCCCCAUCCCUGAGGCUCAUUACCUGGAAUCAAGAGAACUUGGUGGUUUUUUAAAAGCAAACCACGGCGUCAACGUGACAAACAAAAGCAGACAGAAGAUCCGCCACUGCCAUCCUGCGGUGACCUGAGGGAACUGCGCCUACAGAGCAGCAACAUGGAUAACUCAUUACAGCCACACCAUGCCUUUUCCAUUUGUGAUCAGCCCUGCAGUCAGGCGUUAUUUUCCCGUCCACAUUCUCUACAAGACAGCUGCAGGACCCUUGCGAGUGUUGCAGCCACAUAUCAUGCUUCGUCAGGCAGCCAACAAACAUGACAUGAACUAUGAGCUGGCUCACCAUCACACACACACACUUGUUUCACGGUGAGAUAACUGGAGCGCCCGGCACCUCCGUCCUGUCAGGAAAGUAUUUUCUUUCCUCGUCGGCCUGUCAAGAGAACGCAGACACCUACCAGCGCAGAGUCACAGAUGUUUGCUUCUCAUUUGCAGCUCAUCUCAUUUGCAUAUGAAUCGUUUUUGUUUGGGUUUUUUUUAUUUUGCAUGAGUUAAAACCGACAAGCUCUUUUUUUUUGUUGUUUCCCGUCAACAUAUUCAGCACUGUAAUGUAACGCUGAAGCAAAUAAGUUUAUUUCAGUUCUUUUUUGCUUUGUUUUGCUUUUAUUGAGGAACACGUCCAAGUAAACAAAUCUCUAAUUUA